CUUGAUCAAUUAUAAGAGGUCAAGCCUGCCCAGUGACAUUGUUCAACGGCCGCGGUAUCCUAACCGUGCGAAGGUAGCGUAAUCACUUGUCCUUUAAAUAAGGACUAGUAUGAACGGCUUCACGAAGGCUAUACUGUCUCCUUAAUCUAAUCAAUUAAACUAAUCUCCCCGUGAAGAAGCGGGGAUUCAUCUAUAAGACGAGAAGACCCUAUGGAGCUUUAAACAUCUAAGACACUUGAUUAUAUCUACUAAACUUCAUGCAACCUAUCAUUUUGUCUUAAGUUUUAGGUUGGGGUGACCACGGAGAAAAAUUAAACCUCCACGUAGAAAGAAAAUUCUUUUCUAAGCAAAAAGCCACAUCUUAACGCAUCAAUAUAUUGACUUAAAUUGACCCAAUUUCUUGCUCAACGAAC
rnacentral:rRNA from 1 species